rnacentral:lncRNA from 10 species
AGAAAGCACUCUGUGGAUGCAUGCCAGCUGAAAUUGUUAUAGGUCACCCGCUGCACUUCUGGGUCGAUGGCAUUGUGGCAUCCUUGACACACCUAUUAAGAAAUAAUACAAGAGAAGAGGGUGAGAGAUCAAGCUGUAAUGGUAACAUUUUCAUCUUAGGACAUAUUUCUUUAGAUGAUAAAUUAAAACUCAUAAUGACAACCUCAGAAAUACACAAUGGAGGGUGGCCUUCUAGCUAACCUUUUUGGCCAACUGUUAAUGGAGGUCAAUAUUCUGAGCAGCCUGAGAAAUAACGAGUGAAGGCCAAACAGGUGAUUUGAUGCAUGUAAGAUAACUUCAUGGCAUUCAAGGCAGAAAGUCUUGAUGGGAAGUUCCAAAGCAGUGUGCUUAGUUCUGAUGUAUUUUAUUAGAUUGCACAUUUGUAAUUACACAGAAGUUUAUGAUUUUUCCUUGUUCAUUAAAGCUUUGAAGUGGUAAUUUUACCUGUCUUACCUAUGACACAUGAGAUUAUUAACACCACUAAUUUCUAGACAGUAGUAAAUUAAAAUCAUGUUCAAAGUAAUUAAGGACUCAAUUAAAAAUACUGACAGUGUUUGAGAAAAAUGAAUUUGCACUAAAAAUAUAACUUGUAGUUAAUUGGCUUCUAUUCUGUCAUAAGAUCAGUCAUAAUUUAUGUGUAAUCUAAUAUUGUAGAACAUUAAUACUUACAAUCCCUGUACCAUUCAGUAUGUGUUAUGUAUAUAUACAUGACAUACAAACAUGUAUAUACAUACACAAACAUACAUACAUUUACACCACAAAAUUUUCUUCUUAUUCAAACAUGCACAUGAGGAAAAUGAAUAAAUAACCUAUGUUAUAGCAGAAAACAGAAAACCAGUUCGGACCUCUGAAACACUGGAUAGUCCAUGCCUUAUAGUUUAUACAUGUUCUGAAUGAAUAUGGCUGUCUUAAAGUUUUUGUUUUAAAUAUUUCAUAACAAGUGAAGAAGCCAGCAAGACUGUCUGGUAUCACAGUGACUAAUCUUAAGCACCCUUGGUCUCGUAAUGUGAUUGUCAGGAAUUACUGAGGGAUAAGGGGUGGGAACAGGUGAGUGGAGGUCAUUCAGCUUGAGCCUCCUUACUUGAAAAGACUUCAAAAUGUGGCUGCUACUCACUGGGUAAUUGGUUUAGGCAGUGAAGUGAGGCCUGGUUAUAUAUGUCCAUUUCAGACCUGCAUAUUUUUGUUACAUUGCUUCUGAUUACAGAGAUUAUAGCUCUGUAAUCUAUAAGUUAGGUCAACCCAGUCUUCCCUGAGAUACAAUGAAAAUUCUUUGAUCAACACACUAUUCCUGAAUACUAUAAAAAUGAACGUUUCAAUUACAAGCACAUUUCUAAUGUGCAGCUGCACCAUGCAAGCAACUGCUUUUUGUAUAUAUUUUUAUAGCUUUAUUAUGCAUUUAGAAUGUCUUAUUUUCUGCAUUUCAUAUUAAUCUUUCCAUUUUAAAAUUUAUGAUCAACACAUAAUUGUACAUAUUUAUGGGUGUACUAUGUGAUGUUUCAAUACAUGUAUACAUAGUGUAGUGAUCAAAUCAGGGUAAUUAGGAUAUCCCUCUCCUUAAACAUUUAUGAUUUCCUUGUGAUAAGAACAGUCUUUCAAUAUUUCUUGUUUAUGUAUUUUGAAUGUGUUCUUGUAAAAUACACCGUGUGUUUUAUUCCCUUGCUUUCAGACCAUGAUCUAUCUUCUUUUUCUCAGACCUGUGAUUUUUUAAAAUUACCCAAAACACACAUUUUCAGUUGCAAUUUACAAAAAAGAGAUAACUAAUGUUCAAUUACACAUGAAAUUAAGAAAAUUAAGCAAAAAGAUAAUUAGUACACAUAAAUGGUAUAGAGAAUUAAAGUCUGGGGUUUCAUAAAAUUUCAUUUUACUAAUAAUUUGAUUACCAUUCAUUCAAAAUCUGACAUGUAAUCACAGGUCGAAUCUACUGUUCCCUAAUUCCUCAAAAAUCUAAAAUUGGCCCAGGCUGCGCCAAGGGCCUGGGGACUGCAGAACCCUUCAGGGAGAUGAUGUGCUUCACCACUUCCUGCCUGCCAUUUGAUCUUCCCAUGUUCCUAAACCUUUAAUAUUUCAAAGAAUUCUUAUUUCCUUCAAUCCCUCUUCUUAUUUGUACACAGGAUGUAAAAGAGCUAAUGACACCUGUUGUAAUGAGCUCUCUGCAGGAGUGUCCUAUGAAUCUGACGGAUGUGAAUUCUGGGGGUAACUAUGGAGUUCUAGUGACUACACAGAGACAAAGCACUUCUUGCUGCCACCAUGUGAAGAAGGAUGUGUUUGCUUCCUCUUUUGCCACAAUUGUAAGUUUCCUGAGGACUUCCCAGCCAUGCUGAACUCAGAAGAGGAAGUUGGAGGCAUGUGAGGUGCAGGAAGGAUUCUAAGCAGUGGUGCUGGCUUUGAAGAUGGAAGGCAUUGUACCUCAAUGAAUGUGACUGGUUUCUAGAAGCUGAGAGUAGCCAGCCCCCAGCUGACAGCCAACAAGGAAACAGGGACCUUGGUUCUCCAACCACAGAAAAUAGAUUCUACCAACAAGAAUGAGCUUGAAAGCAGAUUCUUCCCUCGCACUUAAAGAUUCAUUCUCCAUGCCUCAGUACUCUGUGCUAUUUCCCAGAAGGCUGAUCCUUAAGGACUACACCUGUGGGAUCCCUUGUCACUGGCAAUGGGACAAUGGGAGGUGCCAGCAGAAAAUCAGAGUGAUGAAGAAUGAGGUCUGGGUAUUUAUCUCCUGGCUUUCUGUAAGUAUACAAGGUGAUAAAAAGGAAAAUGAUUCCUAACAACUUGGGGGUAUGUGGAAGCAGGGGAAGGGGGUGCUGUGGGCUGAACUGUGUUUCCUCAAAGUCAUAUGCUGAAGCUCAAACUCCUAAUGUGACUGUAUUUGGAGCAGGGGCUUUUAAGAAGUAAAGUUAAAAGAUGUCACAAGGUGAACGUCACAAUCCAUUGGAAUAGGUGACCUUAUAAGAAAAGGGAGAGAGAUCUCUUCCUCUCCAGACACACACACACACACCCACACACACCAAGGAAAGGCCAUGUGAGCACGUGGUGAGAAGGCAGCCGUCUGUAAGCCAGGAAGAGAGACCUCACCAGAACUCAACCAUGUUGGCACCUGAUCUCGAACUUUCCAGCCUCUAGAACUGGAAGAAAGUACAUUUCUGUUUAAACUACCAGGUAUGUGAUAUUUUGUUAUGGCAGCCUGAAAAGACAUACAUGGGCAGGGAAGACUUCUCAGAGGUAUUUCUUGAGCUGAGACUUUUUGUUUCCUAGUGGUGGGAGGUAGGGUUUUCCAGGCAGAGAACACCAUGCAAUAAGGCACAAAAUUUCAGGGAAUAGUAUGUAUCAAGCACUUGGAUCAUAGAGUGCUUGGAAGGGAAGUGGAAGAGGCUGGAAAAGCAAGCAGAGGCCAGAUGUUAGGGUUUAAUGUCAAAGGCCAAGAAAUUUGCCUAAAAGAAGUCCAGUGGGAAACUACUGAGGGUUCUUAAGUCAUCUGAAGUAUGUAAUAGUAUCCAUGUUCAAAAGACCAUUCUUGUGAUUGUGUGAGAGGCCAGACUAAUAAAGAGGUAGAGAAUAAUUUAACUCUGAUUUUUGAAAUGUGCCCGAUGGAGCCCUCAGGGUCCUAAGUCAAGGAUCACCAUGAAGCUGGAGGAGGAGGCUAAGUGGGCAGGGUCAUGGGAUCCCAUGUCUACUUCACCCACAUAAGUUCUGUGGCCCUAGACUAGACCUGGAAUCUUUGUUACACUCAGGACAACUAGUCUAGAAUAUUUUACUUCAAAGACUGUACUGAAAGAGGCUACAUAGGGAGGUCAAAGGCACCUGCUUCAGCUCUUUUAGCUAUGGUGAAAAAGUCAGGGAAUUAUCAAGAAUUCUGAGAGAAAUGUGACUGGACCCAUGCCAGGAAGAUGUCAGAACUACUAAGAAAUACCAAUGGGGUGGACUGUUAUCAACCCCAGCUGAAUGACAGGCCAUAUGCAAAGUCCUAGACUAUUAUGGCUCUUAGAUUUUCAGACUACACCCAGUUGAUUAAAUGAGUCUGUGUGAUAAAUUGAAAUGUAAAAGGUUAUUUUCAUGCCAUGGAGAUCUGCUCUUGUCGGAUAUAUUUUCAUCUGAAAAUAUCGAUUAAAAUGAUUAAUAUAGACAUAACAAAAAUGACUAACUUGCUUUAGAGAAAAGAUGAUAUCUCUUAGGAAUGAGCUUUAAAAUCUCACGAGCGGUUUUUGGCAACUGCAUAGCAGAACUAAAAAGAAUGCAGGUUAAGUAUCUCUUACCCAAAAUGUUUCACAAGUAAAAUAAAACAGAAGUGUAUCAGAUUUCAAAUUUUUUUUAAAUUUUGGAAUAUCUGCAUAAACAAUGAGAUAUCUUGGGGAUAGGGCCCAAGUUUAAACAUAAAAUUAAUUUCUGUUUCAUAUACAGCUUAUGUACAUAAGCUGAUGGUAAUUUUAUACAUAUUUUAAAUAAUUUUGUACAAGACACAAAGGUUUGAAUGCAUUUUUGAAUGCAACCUGUCACACGGUCAGGUAUGUGAAAUUUUCCACUUGUGGCAUCGUGUUGACACUCAAGAAGUUUUGGUUUUGGAGCAUUUUGGAUUUUGGAUUUUAUGUAUUAUAAGAUUGUAAGGUAAAAACUAUGCCCAGGAGAGGGCAGUGCAGCCUUCUGUAAAGUUAACUAAUAGGCCCAAUAGAAAAUAGUGUGAGCAUUAAGAGCAGAGAUGUUCUAAUUCAUGAAAACUAUUUUGUGUUAAGUCACUUUACCUUUUUAAAACAUGAGAGACAUACUGCCACUUCUAUGUCCCUUGAAGAGACAGCACAAGGGAGAGCUGCUUAAGUCUUGUAAAAAAAAAUUCUGGAAAACUUUAGCUCCCUAAAACUGAAGAAUUGUAUCAAAACUGAAGAACUGUAUCAGUUCUAGCAGGUUUCUACUGACUUUCCUAUUUUAAACAAUUAUCUUUGUUUCUGAAAACUGAUUCAAUAAACUAGUUUUUAAAAGAGAUUAAUGUCUAAAAUUUUAUUUGUUUAUAUUCUCCUUUAAUUUACACUGUACACAUCUCCAAGAGCUGAUGAAAGUAUUCUAAACGGUUUCCUGUGGAAAUCUGUAGUACAGA